GGGCUUGUCUACUUCAAUGACAGGCUUCUUGCCAUGUCUGAGGACGAUGUUCCUUACCAAGUGCGUAUCACUUCCAGCGGCGAUCUUGAAACUGUUAGGCGGUACAAUUUCGAUGGCCAACUUGAGCACACAAUGAUUGCUCACCCAAAGAUUGAUCCAGUUUCUAAAGAGCUAUUUGCUCUGAGCUACGACGUCGUCCAAAAGCCGUACCUCAA
rnacentral:misc_RNA from 1 species